rnacentral:rRNA from 1 species
AAUGAGCCUGCGAGUUGUGGUGUCUGGCAAGGUUAAGCAAACGCGAAGCCGUAGCGAAAGCGAGUCUGAAUAGGGCGCUUAGUCAGAUGCUGCAGACCCGAAACGAAGUGAUCUAUCCAUGAGCAAGUUGAAGCUAGUGUAAGAACUAGUGGAGGACUGAACCCAUAGGCGUUGAAAAGCCCCGGGAUGACUUGUGGAUAGGGGUGAAAGGCCAAUCAAACUUCGUGAUAGCUGGUUCUCUCCGAAAUAUAUUUAGGUAUAGCGUUGUGUCGUAAUAUAAGGGGGUAGAGCACUGAAUGGGCUAGGGCAUACACCAAUGUACCAAACCCUAUCAAACUCCGAAUACCUUAUAUGUAAUCACAGCAGUCAGGCGGCGAGUGAUAAAAUCCGUCGUCAAGAGGGAAACAACCCAGACUACCAGCUAAGGUCCCUAAAUCUUACUUAAGUGGAAAACGAUGUGAAGUUACUUAAACAACCAGGAGGUUGGCUUAGAAGCAGCCAUCCUUUAAAGAAAGCGUAAUAGCUCACUGGUCUAGUGAUUUUGCGCGGAAAAUAUAACGGGGCUAAAGUAAGUACCGAAGCUGUAGACUUAGUUUACUAAGUGGUAGGAGAGCGUUCUAUUUGCGUCGAAGGUAUACCGGUAAGGAGUGCUGGAGCGAAUAGAAGUGAGCAUGCAGGCAUGAGUAGCGAUAAUUAAUGUGAGAAUCAUUAACGCCGUAAACCCAAGGUUUCCUACGCGAUGCUCGUCAUCGUAGGGUUAGUCGGGUCCUAAGUCGAGUCCGAAAGGGGUAGACGAUGGCAAAUUGGUUAAUAUUCCAAUACCAACAUUAGUGUGCGAUGGAAGGACGCUUAGGGCUAAGGGGGCUAGCGGAUGGAAGUGCUAGUCUAAGGUCGUAGGAGGUUGUACAGGCAAAUCCGUAUAACAAUACUCCGAGAACUGAAAGGCUUUUUGAAGUCUUCGGAU